ACGGUGCGUGCUGGCACCAGCGGCGGAUGGGUGCAUCGGGAAGACAGAGCAAGGGCAAAGGAAGGGUAAGCGCGCUCGCUCGUUCCCGUAGCGGAAGCGGCGAAGGAACACGGUGCAGCGGCAGUACUCACUGGCGGACGACGGUCAGCCCGAAGCGAACCAUGGCACGGCCACACAGCUGGGCACGGGCCCUGCUCCCGGCUCCUCUGGUCUGCGCUGCGACGUCCGCCUCGCGCCCGACGGUGACGUCACAGGGCAGCUACCGCCGCACCUCCCCUCAGCGGCCGAGAGCACUCGGUCCUGCUUGAAUGUUUUGAGACUUCAGCGCGCCGCGGAGCUAAGGUUGGUUAGAAGAUUUGGAAGUCAAGUGGUGAUUCCUCAGUGAUUGUCAGCAGAGAUGGAAUUGGUUUCAAAGCAACUGCUUCAGACCAGCUGUUCACAAGGCAAAGCAGCGAGCAGUACAGGCACGCACCCGGCAGACAUCCACAACAGCUGGGGCGAGGAUGCUACUAGUCAUGGAGUGGUUUGGAAUGGACCUUGAAGACUACCUAGUUCCAAUGUCUGCCAUGGGCAGAUGACACUUCCCACUAGAACAAGUUGCUCAAGGCCCCAUCGAGCUUGGCCUUGAACACUUCCAGGCACGGGGCACCCACAGCUUCUCUGGGCAACCUGUUCCAGUGCCUCAUGACCCUCUCAGUAAAGAUGUUCUUCCUAAAGUUUAAUCUAAAUCUAACUUCUAGUUUAAAGCUGUUAUGCCUUGUCCUAUUGCUACACGUCCUAGUAAAAAGCCCCUCACCAUAUUACUGUAAGUCCCAUUAGGUAAUGUAAGGCUGCAGUAAGGUCUCCCUAGAGCCUUCUCUUCUCCAUGCUGAACAACUCCAGCUUUCUCGUCCUGUUGUCAUAGGAUAGAUGCUUCAUCCUUCUGAUCAUCUUCAAGGCCCUCUUCUGGACCCCACUCCAACAGGUCUAUGUCCUUCUAAUGCUGGGGGGCCCAGAACUGAACGCAGUACUCUGGGGCGUUCUCCUUAGAACUGAAUAGAGAGGGAGAAUUAACUCCCUUGUUCUGCUGGCCAUCUGUUCUUAUGCAAUUCUGAGCCUCCAUGCCUUUUCUGAAAAAUGAGGCAGAAUGUGAUCUUCUUCAGAUCCUAUUUACCCAAAUCUUUUCAGUAUACAGGAUCUAGCUAGGAGAUUGGUGGGAUUGCUGCAGAUUGAUUUGUUGGAGGAAGGCCAGCUUUGCUUUGCAGCCAUCACCAUUCUUGUAUGAAGAGAGGCAGAGUGAAAAGUAAACUAAACUGAACAAUCCUACCCACCUACUUACCGCCUGCAAGGAACGUCUCUCACAUAAUCCAUAUCACAGUGAUGUUUGGUAACUCAAGAUUACAGCUGACAUCUGAGCUACAUAAAAUAAAUCAGCUCUGCUGCCUAGUAUUCUUUCUGGGCCUACUGACAGCA